UUUACUCGGCUUUAGAUACUUUAGAUGGUAUCUGUUUACUCACUGGGAUUAUAAAAUCUCACCCCUUCUUCCUAUACAUUUUUCAGGCUCAGGAUAGUUUGUAGAUAGUCGAGUAGGACGAGAACUAAGCUCGGAACUGCAUUAUAGAAAGUAAGAGUUCACAAUCUUACAUCCUCUUGGUCAAUUGGAGCUCACGUGUUAUUGCAGAUCAAAACUUAUAUUUUGGUUAUCUGUAUUUCUAUUCAUACAAUUUUUACUUUACUUUCAUGUACGAAAAAAAUUAUUUACGAAUAUUUCUAUAAAAUUUUAUUUUAUGACAAAAUAGAAUAUUUCAUUUAUUAUUUUUGAAUAUUACUAGUUGUCAACAAUUUGCUUUCAA
rnacentral:lncRNA from 1 species